CUCCUAGAUAAAAUGAAGGCGUCCACUUUGCAGCCAUAUACAUCAGCAAAGGAAAGCUGCCUUAACACAUGGAAAAGCCAAUAUAUGGUGUUUGAGACGAAUCGGUAACAUAUCCUGAGGUUGUUUGUAUGAUUCCCUUUUGUCCCCUGCUUCUUAUGGGUUGAUGUGAGUCUUCGUGCUGAGCCCAAAAGACAAGAGGUGGGAGGAUCUUUGUUGUACGAAUGCAAGUGGCGGUGCAUCGGGUCGCUGGUUGGAAGUGUACUCGAGGGAUGCUAUGUCAACAGUUGGUAUAAGGCAUGGAUGCAGGCUGGGGGAGAAGUUCCUAUGCCUAAGGAACUGGCAGCUAUUCCCCUGUAGGGUGGGUGAAGUUUUUUGUGAUUGGUUUUGGCUGUCUGGUGCGAUGGUGAGCAGUGUCUUAUGAUGUUCAGAGCUUGAAGCUAAAGAUGGCGCGAGCUUUGUCAAGGGUCAUUAACUGGUGGCGUGUUCUGUAUGUGGUGAAGCUAUCAGCUUCCUUUUUGUGAAUUUUAAUUUCAAAGUUAAGGUACUGUGACCAUGGUGACAAUUAUUUCUGCUGAGUGUUCAUGAUCACGGGGACAGGUGGCGCUUUUGCUGUUUUCUGGUUUGUUCUGGGCUGCUAUGGUCGAAUUAUGAUCGUGUUUGGCUGGUGUGCCAUUGUUUCCUUGUAUACUGAAAGGCCUGAAACAUCUCGGGCAACACCAUUUGGUUGCUAUGGGGUAAAACAAGUAAACUUAGUACUGUUAGUUUGAUCUCAAAGCAAUUAAGUGACUGAUACGGAUGUAUACUAGCCUUAUUGGGAAGUUCCUUUUCUAGUGUUGGGCGGGUUUUCUACCACAACUUGGCGGUUUUUGUAAGUCUCUUCAAGGAAUGAAAUUUCUACUUGACUUUCAAAACAAAGAAAGAAAAAAUGGAAAAGCUGAUACGCCACCCUAACUGAAUUAAAUGUUUCAAUCAAUAGUAUUCCAAAUUUCAAAUUAGCAAUUUGUAACUUCUUUCUUUAGUUCAGUAAUGUUUGGCGAACCGAUACUAUGGUUUUCAUAAA